UCGAACGAUGAUGCCCAGCUUGCUGGGCGGAUUAGUGGCGAACGGGUGAGUAAUACGUGAGUAACCUGCCCUUGACUCUGGGAUAAGCCUGGGAAACUGGGUCUAAUACUGGAUACUACCUCUUGCCGCAUGGUGGGUGGUGGAAAGGGUUUUACUGGUUUUGGAUGGGCUCACGGCCUAUCAGCUUGUUGGUGGGGUAAUGGCUCACCAAGGCGACGACGGGUAGCCGGCCUGAGAGGGUGACCGGCCACACUGGGACUGAGACACGGCCCAGACUCCUACGGGAGGCAGCAGUGGGGAAUAUUGCACAAUGGGCGGAAGCCUGAUGCAGCGACGCCGCGUGAGGGAUGACGGCCUUCGGGUUGUAAACCUCUUUCAGUAGGGAAGAAGCGAGAGUGACGGUACCUGCAGAAGAAGCGCCGGCUAACUACGUGCCAGCAGCCGCGGUAAUACGUAGGGCGCAAGCGUUGUCCGGAAUUAUUGGGCGUAAAGAGCUCGUAGGCGGUUUGUCGCGUCUGCUGUGAAAGCCCGGGGCUCAACCCCGGGUCUGCAGUGGGUACGGGCAGACUAGAGUGCAGUAGGGGAGACUGGAAUUCCUGGUGUAGCGGUGAAAUGCGCAGAUAUCAGGAGGAACACCGAUGG
rnacentral:rRNA from 1 species